rnacentral:rRNA from 1 species
UACGUAGGGUGCAAGCGUUAAUCGGAAUUACUGGGCGUAAAGCGUGCGCAGGCGGUUGUGCAAGACCGAUGGGAAAUCCCCGGGCUUAACCUGGGAAUGGCAUUGGUGACUGUACGGCUAGAGUGUGUCAGAGGGGGGUAGAAUUCCACGUGUAGCAGUGAAAUGCGUAGAGAUGUGGAGGAAUACCGAUGGCGAAGGCAGCCCCCUGGGAUAACACUGACGCUCAUGCACGAAAGCGUGGGGAGCAAACAGG